AUGUUUCGUUUCAAGGUCAUCGAGGUGGCGAUCAAUAGCAUCUUCAGCUUCUUGCAGGCUCCUGAACGGCCCAUCCAAAUGAGGAUACGUGUGGAAAGAACCCAAAAGGUCCGUCCUAAUGUAAAAGGUGAAGUACCAAAAGGUACGUUUUAUGACCAAGAAUGGCAAGGGAUUGGCAGUGGGAGAUGGUUCCUGCAGUGUUGUAGUGAGCAGGAACUUGCUCAAGCACAAGACAUCCGGUUGUUGUGUCGUUUGCAUGGGUGGAGGACAACACCUGAAUCAAGGAGAACAGUUGAGCAGGCUCGAAGGCUCGCUGGAAGAUUUCUACCGGCCAACAAUGGUGGCCUGAGCUACUGGAGGUGGAUAGGGCAAGGGAUUGGCAGUGACAGCGGUUCCUUUAGUGUUCUAGUGAGCAGGAACUUGCUCAAGCAUGAGGCAUCCGACGGGGAACACCUGAAUCAAGUGAAACAGUUAAGCAAACUGGAUGAGCAGAUCCAAGAGCAACAUAUCAAAAAAUGA
rnacentral:rRNA from 1 species